rnacentral:rRNA from 1 species
AUUGAACGCUGGCGGCAGGCUUAACACAUGCAAGUCGAGCGGGGGGAGGUAGCUUGCUACCGGACCUAGCGGCGGACGGGUGAGUAAUGCUUAGGAAUCUGCCUAUUAGUGGGGGACAACAUCUCGAAAGGGAUGCUAAUACCGCAUACGUCCUACGGGAGAAAGCAGGGGAUCUUCGGACCUUGCGCUAAUAGAUGAGCCUAAGUCGGAUUAGAUAGUUGGUGGGGUAAAGGCCUACCAAGGCGACGAUCUGUAGCGGGUCUGAGAGGAUGAUCCGCCACACUGGGACUGAGACACGGCCCAGACUCCUACGGGAGGCAGCAGUGGGGAAUAUUGGACAAUGGGGGGAACCCUGAUCCAGCCAUGCCGCGUGUGUGAAGAAGGCCUUAUGGUUGUAAAGCACUUUAAGCGAGGAGGAGGCUACUCUAGUUAAUACCUAGGGAUAGUGGACGUUACACGCAGAAUAAGCACCGGCUAACUCUGUGCCAGCCGCCGCGGUAA